rnacentral:rRNA from 1 species
GAUGAACGCUGGCGGCGUGCCUAAUACAUGCAAGCCGAGCGAACGGACGAGAAGCUUGCUUCUCUGAUGUUAGCGGCGGACGGGUGAGUAACACGUGGAUAGCCUACCUAUAAGACUGGGAUAACUUCGGGAAACCGUAGCUAAUACCGGAUAAUAUUUUGAACCGCAUGGUUCAAAAGUGAAAGACGGUCUUGCUGUCACUUAUAGAUGGAUCCGCGCUGCAUUAGCUAGUUGGUAAGGUAACGGCUUACCAAGGCAACGAUGCAUAGCCGACCUGAGAGGGUGAUCGGCCACACUGGAACUGAGACACGGUCCAGACUCCUACGGGAGGCAGCAGUAGGGAAUCUUCCGCAAUGGGCGAAAGCCUGACGGAGCAACGCCGCGUGAGUGAUGAAGGUCUUCGGAUCGUAAAACUCUGUUAUUAGGGAAGAACAUAUGUGUAAGUAACUGUGCACAUCUUGACGGUACCUAAUCAGAAAGCCACGGCUAACUACGUG